rnacentral:lncRNA from 1 species
CGUGUUAUAUGUCAUUAAAUUCCUGUGAUUCUCAAGAUCAUUCUAAUUUAUUUUUGUUGGUGUCGUCAUCUGCAGAUUAUAUUUAAAGAUUGAUAAAUCCAACGCUAAAAAUAGAAAGCCGGAAAUUGAUGUUGUUAUGGAAAAUAUGAUAAACAACAUGGCGGAACCUCGGCGACAUAACUUAUACUAUUUACGUAUCCGGAAUUAGUUCAUUUUUUCACUUGUUUCGAUUUAAAUAAAGAUUAAAAUUAUUUUUCGUAG